CGAAGAAGACAACAAAGGUACACUUUUUUCGUCUUCCAUACAAAGGUGGAAUCUUUUCAGAGGAAUGAAGGUUUGAAGAACACUAGAAAGGAAGGUUUUGUGCUAGAUCAAUGAUUUGUUUCAAGACUACAACCAAGUUUCUAGAUGGAUGAAGUGUUUGAAGAAUACAACAAAG